UGCGAAGGGGGCUAGCGUUGCUCGGAAUCACUGGGCGUAAAGCGCACGUAGGCGGCUUGCUAAGUCAGGGGUGAAAUCCUGGAGCUCAACUCCAGAACUGCCUUUGAUACUGAAGAUCUUGAGUUCGGGAGAGGUGAGUGGAACUGCGAGUGUAGAGGUGAAAUUCGUAGAUAUUCGCAAGAACACCAGUGGCGAAGGCGGCUCACUGGCCCGAUACUGACGCUGAGGCACGAAAGCGUGGGGAGCAAACAGG
rnacentral:rRNA from 1 species